UACAUAGGGUGCGAGCGUUGUCCGGAAUUAUUGGGCGUAAAGAGCUCGUAGGCGGCUUGUCGCGUCGGAUGUGAAAGCCCGGGGCUUAACUCCGGGUCUGCAUUCGAUACGGGCAGGCUAGAGUUCGGUAGGGGAGAUCGGAAUUCCUGGUGUAGCGGUGAAAUGCGCAGAUAUCAGGAGGAACACCGGUGGCGAAGGCGGAUCUCUGGGCCGAUACUGACGCUGAGGAGCGAAAGCGUGGGGAGCGAACAGG
rnacentral:rRNA from 1 species